GAGGGCUGCAUAACUGAUGGAAGGCCGGGCGCGGUAAGAGCGUCUCGGGGAGUAGGGCAAGGCGGCCGGGCCCCUCCCAUUCCGCCUUUUCUUCAGCGUCCUGCCCGCGGCACUGGCUGCGGGUGCCGGGCCACCUGCGAGUGUGCGGAGGGAUUCCGGACACCCGCGGCGGCGAGCUGAGGGAGCAGUCUCCACGAGAACUGAGGCGGACCCUCUGGCGCCAUGCGCGCCCUCCCCGGCCUGCUGGGGGCGAGGGCGCCUACGCCCCGGCUGCUUCUCCUCCUCCAGUGCCUUCUCGCCGCCGCGCGCCCAAGCUCGGCGGACGGCAGUGCCCCAGGAGUGAGUCCGUGCUGCUGCACAUGCCCCAGCCUGUGAAUCCAGAGCUCACUACAGGGCGCAUCACAGGACUGGUGGACAGGCUCAACCACUUCCGAGGUCAGCGCAAGGGAAUAUUAAUGGAUCUCUCUUGGAUAUUUUGAGUUUGAAGUUCCCAUGGGAUAUCCAGAUUUAGAUGCUCCGUAGACACCUGGAGCUGUAAAAUAAAAAAAAAAGACUUCAGUGGAGAUUCUAAUUUUAACAUUCUAGUAUGCCAGUAGAAAAAAACAUCACUUUAGAAAGGCCUUCUGAUGUAAAUCUCACAUGCCAGUUCACAACAUCCGGGGAUUUGAAUGCAGUAAAUGUGACUUGGAAAAAAGAUAGUGAACAACUUGAGAAUAAUUAUCUUGUCAGUGCAACAGGAAGCACCUUAUAUACCCAAUACAGGUUCACCAUCAUUAACAGCAAACAAAUGGGAAGUUAUUCUUGUUUCUUCUGAGAGGAAAAAGAACGAAGGGGAACAUUUAAUUUCAAAGUCCCUGAACUUCAUGGGAAAAACAAGCCAUUGAUCUCUUACGUAGGGGAUUCUACUGUCUUGACAUGUAAAUGUCAAAAUUGUUUUCCUUUAAAUUGGACCUGGUACAGUAGUAAUGGGAGUGUAAAGGUUCCUGUUGGUGUUCAAAUGAAUAAAUAUGUGAUCAAUGGAACAUAUGCUAAUGAAACAAAGCUGAAGAUAACACAACUUUUGGAGGAAGAUGGGGGAUUUUACUGGUGCCAUGCACUAUUCCAAUUAGACGAGAGUGAAGAACACAUUGAGCUUGUGGUGCUGAGCUAUUUGGUGCCCCUCAAACCAUUUCUUGCAAUAGUGGCUGAGGUGAUUCUUUUAGUGGCCACCAUUCUGCUUUGUGAAAAGUACACACAAAAGAAAAA
ensembl:lncRNA EMBP1 embigin pseudogene 1